rnacentral:rRNA from 1 species
AACACAUGCAAGUCGAGGGGUAGCAGGGUAGCAAUACCGCUGACGACCGGCGCACGGGUGAGUAACACGUAUCCAACCUUCCCAUAACUCGGGGAUAGCCUUUCGAAAGAAAGAUUAAUACCCGAUAGUACUUUUUUAGGGCAUCUUAGAAAAGUUAAAGAUUUAUUGGUUAUGGAUGGGGAUGCGUUCCAUUAGAUAGUUGGUGAGGUAACGGCUCACCAAGUCUUCGAUGGAUAGGGGUUCUGAGAGGAAGGUCCCCCACAUUGGUACUGAGACACGGACCAAACUCCUACGGGAGGCAGCAGUGAGGAAUAUUGGUCAAUGGGCGAGAGCCUGAACCAG